rnacentral:tRNA from 1 species
ACCCAGUAUGGAAAGCGAGUUUCCGGCUUUCUCCAGAGAGGCCCUGCGGGUUUCCAGGGCAGUGAGCGUGGUGCUGAACCACUCCUGGUUC